CGGGAGGGCGGCCCGGAGCCGGGAGGGCGGCCCGCGGCCGGGAGGGCGGCCCGGGGCCGGGAGGGCGGCUCCCCGCGCUUCCAGCGACGCCUCACGAGGAGCGGGAGCGCGUAGGAAGGGUUCAGAGUGGGUAAAAAGGGAGCAGGGAAAGGGCAUCGCAACAAGAGUCUCCAAUAAAAAAAUGCAGCUGCCGAAACCUGGUAAAACCAGGAGCGGGAAAGAGAAUUUUAGCAUGACAACUAUGAGAAAUUAGAGACCCUUCAUCUGGGAGGUAUUUUCCCAGGUUCAACAUCUUGGCUGCAAAUUACACCAAUGCAUGUGAAAAUGGACUACAUACUGAAACAUAAUUUGGAACUAAGAAAUCUCCUUUCUGUAAUACAAGCUUGUAUUAAGGUGACAACAUAGAGAGAGGAAUGGCACAGGAAUGCACAGGACUGUAGCCAGCAACUGUCUUUGAGAUAAUUGGAGCAUUAUGAAGAAGCAUGCUAACUUCUAACUACAUUUCUGCUAGGAAAUGAAGCAGUCAAUCAUCUGAGUUAAAGGCCUAUUGUAACUUGAGUGCAAUUCAGAGGUACUUAAGCUAAUUGCUCAUUGUGUUUUUAAUAGCAUAUGACUUUUUUAACACCGGGGACUAUAGCAGGCAAGACUUGUUUCACUUAAGUGGUUUAACUCAGAUCAGGAUCUAAGUGGUUUACUGAUUUAUUAAUGACACAUAAUUAGCUGACACUUUGUGAACUUCACCUUCUGGAUCAAUAUCAACAGGCUGACAGAUAAACCAGAG
rnacentral:lncRNA from 12 species